CUUGAGCACGUAGGUGGGUUUGUAAGUCAGGUGUGAAAGCCUUCUGUUCAACGGGAGAAUUGCAUCUGAAACUACAAGUCUUGAGUGUAGGAGGGGAGAAUGGAACGUCUGGUGGAGCGGUGAAAUCCGUAGAUAUCAGAAGGAACGCCGGCGGCGAAAGCGAUUCUCUGGCCUAUUACUGACACUCAGUGUGCGAAAGCUAGGGGAGCAAACGGGAUUAGAUACCCCGGUAGUCCUAGCCGUAAACGAUGGGCACUAAGUAGAGGGGAUUACCGACGUUCUCUCUGCCGUAGCUAACGCAUUAAGUGCCCCGCCUGGGGAGUACGGCCGCAAGGCUAAAACUCAAAAGAAUUGACGGGGGCUCGCACAAGCGGUGGAGCAUGUGGCUUAAUUCGAUGCAACGCGAAGAACCUUACCGGGGCUUGACAUGGUAGAAGUAGGAACCCGAAAGGGUAACGAACGGUAUCCAGUCCGUGACUAUCACAGGUGUUGCAUGGCUGUCGUCAGCUCGUGUCGUGAGACGUUGGGUUAAGUCCCCUAACGAGCGAAACCCUUGUUUUUAGUUACCAGCGGGUUAUGCCGGGUACUCUAGAAAGACUGCCGUCGUCAAGACGGAGGAAGGUGGGGAUGACGUCAAGUCAUCAUGGCCCUUAUGCCUCGGGCUGCACACGCGCUACAAUGGUCGGUACAAACGGAAGCGAAGCCGAGAGGUGAAGCGAAUCCAAGC
rnacentral:rRNA from 1 species